UUAGUCCAUCAAAUCACACAAAUAAUACUAAAACCUGUUGUUGACACGCUUUUGUUAUAUAUUUACCUCAUAUAAAUGGCUUGUGUCUUUGAGAAAAGUUCGUUACCAUCCCAACAUGUUUCCGCACAUGCGGUCGGAACUGUGCUUCCGGUUUCUGUUGGUUUACUUGCUAAACUGAUCUCUUGAAAAAAUAACUCGUCGAAAAUAUUUUUUUUGUUUCCAAUGUAAUAUACGUGUUGUUAAUUUGCUUGUUAUAAGCUAGGACUUUGUUGUUAUUUUUGCUUAGCAGAGUUUAACGGAAGUUACGUGUUUUCCACAAAAGCCUCUUUACUGUAUGUAUGUUACUGCUGAAACCGUCUAUAAGCGUUAGCUUUUGCUCUUGUUUAUGAACGUUUGGGCUUUUGAAAACAUAGAUGAGAGGUUUCAAAGUCUUUGUUAACGUUGUCAGUGCAUGACUGGAAGUAGGCAAAUUUAUUUAGUCUAAAUAUGCGAUGUACUGUAACGUCUAAACCUUGUUAAAUUGCACGGAGUGCUGAAGCUACUAACGUUAGUACGUAUGUUUUAUCGUAUACAAAUACAGACAUGUUGUUCUCUGAUUUCAGGAGUGACAAAAACCCUCUAUAAUAGAAGAGAAGCUCAAGAUUUCAACAUUUUCUGAAGGGAGUUGCAGACAGGUGUAGAAAACUGCUUUUCAAAUUUUCCACAUUUAUCACAGUUAUUUUAAGAUGUUGACAUCUAAACGUGAGUAGCAUUGUGUGAGCAAUAUUAAAUAAGUAAAUCUUACACUGCAUAUUUUAUAUAUUGUUUUCUCUGUGACAGAUUGAAUGUUAUGUUUGUAGAUUUGUCCAUGCUAAUGGCCGAGCAGUAGGGUUGGAACAGACCUGUCAGAAAACAUCUCUGAACCAUAUGACUAAUUUCAAAACAAUUUAUUCUUGAGAGGAGGCACCACAGUUAAAGACAGUGUUUUGAAGAAUUUUGAACUUCCUGCUCACAAACUACCUACCUCUCCAGUUAGUCUGACAGGCUAUCAAUGAGAAUGCGGCAUUACAGGACACCACUGAAAACUAUACCACUAAAAACUGAUUAUUGCUGCAGUCAGAAGAAACAGAUUAACAGCAACUAUCUGCUUGAGACCAAGAGAUUGAGCACUGGGUUAAGACAUGGUUGCAGCUUGCCACAGACAGAGAUGAAGGUCGUUGGGCAAAAGAGAAGAUUUAAAGGCAUAGCUCACCCAAAAAUGGAAACUCAUUUACUUACCAUCAAGAUGUUUCAAACUCUAUCAAAUGUAUUUGUUCAGUUACUGACUGUUAUAAAUUAUACAGGUUUGGAACAACCUUUGGGUGAGCAAAAUUACAGUUUUAAUUUUAAUUAGUGAACUAUCCCUAUUGUGAGUUUUAUAAGUUUAUUAAGAAAUGUUGAGUAUUAUAUCAGAGUUUUGUAUGUAAGGAGAUGGUAGUUGUACGUUUGUGUGUUGAUAUAGAUGGUUUCAGUGGCAACAACAUAAAUCACUUUCAUGGCCCAAACUUAACUUCGGGUAGACCUCCACAUAGAUUCAAUAACAACCGAGUAUCUCUGGAGCAGUUUUUUUUCUGAUAACAAACAAAAUAAAUAACCAGUAAAUAGCCUUAGAUCAAAUCAUAGCUAAAGCAUUUCAACCAUUACAUUGAUCUAAUGUUACUGGGUAAAAUUAAGCUUUACAAUUUUAGCUACAGAUCUUUGAAAAUGUUUGUACGGUAUACUGCCCAUUUCCAGAAAGGUAAUAAAAACAGCGUGCACAGUGACGCUGCUGACGUGUUAUCCUCAGACAUGUUUGUGAAGAUUGUUUUGUUUAUAGCGUGCGUCUCCCUCAGACUGUAAAAAAAGCUUGGGAACAAGAAAAAGCUUGGGCAAACAAGAUAACAUGUCAGCAGCGUCACUCCAGUGUUGUGCACGAGGUUCACAACAGACCUGGAAGAGAAGACGAUGCUGAAUAAAGUCAUAAUUUCUGUUAUUUUUGGACCAAAAUUUAUUUUCGAUGCUUCAACACAUUCUAACUGACCCACUGAUAUCACAUGGACUACUUUGAUGAUGUACAGUAUAUAUUUGAUCGUGUAUACACAUAUCUAAAACAUCUUAAACUGUUUCCGAAGAUGAACGGAGGUGUUACGGGUUUGGAAUGACAUGAGGGUCAUUAAUUACAUAAUUUUCAUUUUGGAUGAAAUAACCCUUUAAGUUUGGCCAGGUGUGUAACCGUGGCAACGCACAUGCAUCUAUGGGUUCCAGUAUAUCUUACUAUAU